CCGACGCCUAUAAAGAGCAGCGGCAGAUGCACCUGAACGCAUCGCAGGAGCACCUGAACGCAUCGCAGGAGAGACUGCAGGAGGAGGACAAGCACAGUGUGGAGGUGUCUUGAUGGCCUGAUCACAACACAAGCUGAAAUCAAUUUGGAAGCCAUUUCCGAGGGCGGAUGAUCUGAGGACUGAAGAGCCGGCGCUGCUCCAACUGGAGUCUGACAGGAAGAGACUCACAUAAACAGAGUCAGAGAAGAAGAAACAAGAGGAGGAGGACUGAAGGUUGGACCUCCUCUGAACAACCAGGACUCUUCUUAACGAGAUAGACUCUUUAAUAACGAGAUAAUCACUUCUCAAGGACGCUGCAUCUUCAUCAUCAGACGGCUCACGGAGGCUUUACUGCACCGACAGUGCCAAUGUGUUCAUGUGUGAUUGUGUACGUAUCAAGGAAUAUUCUGGAAAGUUUGACCACACCUGAAACUUAAAUUGGACCGUGACCCAAAGGAAAAGACACCGAAACAAGAAGUGAGUCCAGAAAAGAGCAGAGAAGAUUGGAUAUGGUGGAAUCUGAUAUCUGGAUGUACAACACCUCUGAGUGAAACAGCUCCACCUGCUGCCAAGUCUAGAUAAUUACAGUUAUUGUGAAACAGAACCAUAAUAAAGAGAGUUAUACUGGGCUCUUAAGUGAUAUCUAAGGGAAUUAAAGUGAGUCAAGACGGUGUUCAAACACAGGUCCGACAAAUCCAAUACCAAUACUGGACUUCGAUUAGACCAAAGAUAGUUGUGUGUCUGAUACUAAGUGUCCUUGUAAAAACAAUGGCGAGAUAAGGAUGAGGCAAAAAACCCACAAACAAGACCAUCAAACUCAGAUACAUUUGGGCAAUUGAGACCAGUCUGAGUCACAGAGAUCUUUAGAGGCUGAUGAGUUUGGUUAAAAACACCCCAAGAAAGCCAAAGGAGUUAAAACGCUUACAAGAGCCAGACAUGUCCUGGUCAAAAUGUCGACGGUACAGAAACAGUUCAAAUAUAGAUUAUACCAAUAAGAGUCUCACGGAGAAACCUGGUCUCCUACAAAUUACGUUCUUAUUCAACAAAGCAGUGCUGUCAAUUAUGUUUAGAUGGUAUUUAGUAUCACAAGUAUGCUUUUAACCAAACUCCCUAUAAGGUGAGUGUGUGGGUCAAACCAAACACAACUCUUACCCGUGUAAAGGUUAUCAAAAUGUGAGCGUAAUGGGAACGUGAUUUUGUAGGAGAUCUGGAGAGGCUGUGAUUAGUCCUAGACGAUCAAUAAGUAAGUCACCACAAAAGAAAACACGAUUAGACCUGAGUAUCGAUCUCCUUUCACACCUCCCAAGGUUUGUUUUAUUUUCAAGUUUGUAGUUAUAUUAUAUUUCUGAAUAUCAAGACAUUAUACAAACAUUAGCAUUCUAGCACUAAUGCUACCAUUUGAAGCUACAUUUCAGCUACUGGUGAAAGUAUAUUAUGUCAAGUGUUUACAGCUCGUGUGUGUGUGUGUGUGUGUGUGUGUGUGUGUGUGUGUGUGUGUGUGUGUGUGUGUGUGUGUGUGUGUGUGUGUGUGUGUUUCACUGGCUGUGUUAAGGAGUGAUGAUGAUGAUACUAAUGACGAAGAUGAUAAAUAUUGUACAGAAAUCACAUUAUAUUUUAAAUUGAAUAAUAAAUCAAUGACGCUUUA